rnacentral:tRNA from 1 species
UUCCUGAUAGUGUAAUGGCAUCACAAUUGACUCUGGCUCAAUUAAUCUUGGUUCGAAUCCAGGUCGGGAAGC